UCUGUUUUGCGUGCGGGCUUUCCUAGAGGUUGUGAAAGGAGGAGCAGGCGCCUCCCAGGCACAGCGGCUGCGUUUGUUGCCCUCCUGAUAGAGAUGGAUGCUCUGGAAACCCUUCCCGACAACCAGUCCCGGACACAGGCAGGCCCGACCCUUCUUUCCUGGGCUCCAGGGGCUCCCGGCCGCGAUCAAGGCUGGAGAGGAGGUGCUGGAGGGCGGCCUUGCUCCCCCCAGCCUGGCUGCGCUCUGCGCCCAAGAGGCUGAGGAUGUGCUGCAGCAGCUGCAGCACUCUACUCAGCCCUUUACUGGCAUUGAUCCUGACCGACCACAAAGAGGUAGAGGACUAUGGAGAAUCCUUUAGCAUGUUUGGCCAUGGUGGCUUCAGUGGGCUGAAUAGCGGUCCCAGAAUGAGACUGAUUCCUUGCAAGUACCUCUUCACAUCCAGUAUGGAGUCUUCAUUGCUCAGGAGAGUCCUUCCAUCUCCAACCCCUGCACUAAGCCAAUUUCUAGGACUUCCCAAUGCUGACAAAGUCCAGUAAAGAAUUUCUCACAGCCAGUCUUAAUCCAGCCCACCUUUUACACUUGAACAUGUUUAAGAUAUGCUGGAGCAUAUAGUGGAAGACAUCAACAGUCUGCCCUCUGGAACUUGCUGCCAUCCACUGAAACAACAGAAAACAAUUGGAUACAGUUAACUGUCCAUCAGUCCGGGAUUGGUUAAAUAAUUUAUGACACACCCAUUUAUUGGGAGACAAAACAAAGUUCUCUAUUUACUAACACGGGAAGAUCUCCAAAUGAAAAAAAGCUAGGGGCAGAAUAGUGAGUACGGGCUCCUAUCUUUUAUGUAAAAGUAGAAAAAGUAUAAUAAAAGAAUAUAAUUAUAGUCUUACUAGUUUGCAUAUACAAAAAAUAAACUAGAUAGAUUUAAAAGGCAUCAGACACUUCAAAACAUGGGAAAUGUUGGAAGAAAUUAUGUCAAAAUGUACAUCUAUUCAUACGGCAAAAUUUAAAUUUACUCCUAAAUAGAGAAAUACAAGUUAAUAAAAAUAUCCAUAAAAGAAAAAUAAAUAAAAAUAAAUAUGGGAGAAAUGCACAAACAUUGCUGGUGAUCAUAUUUUGGAAAGAAAUUUUUAUACGUCUUGAAUCCUGUCCUUAGGAUUUAUCUAAAAACAGGGGAAACUUCUGUGCUGAGAUUUUAGUUUAUUGGAGUCUAUAAAACAAUGACGUACAAAGUUUUUAUUCAGGAACUAAUAAUGGGCAAAAGAAACUAUAGUAUGUGGAAUCAUGGGAAAGUCCUGUAGCCAUCUAAAAAUGUGAGUGGAUAGGGAUGCCUGGGUGGCUCCGUGGUUGAGCGUCUGCCUUCCGCCCAAGGCGUGAUCCUGGAGAGCCGGGAUCGAGUCCCACAUCGGGCUCCCUGCGUGGAGCCUGCUUCUCUGUCUGUGUCUGUCUGUCUCUCUCUCUCGGCCUGUGUCUCUCAUGAAUAAAUAAAUAAAAUCUUUAAAAAAAAAUGUGAGUGGAUAGAAGGGGAGGUGGGUGGCAGGUGGGGGUGACUGGGUGAUGGGCACUGAGGGGGGCACCUGAUGGGAUGAGCACUGGGUGUUCUAUAUGUUGGCAAAUUGAACACCAACAAAAAAUAAAUAAAUAAAAAUAUAAAUAAAAUAAAAUGAAAUAAAAAUAAAAAUGUGAGUGGAGAACAAUUACAACGGAAUUGCACUGCACAGCCAAAACCCAGGCUAUACUGUUCAUGUGCCGUGGUCACAAUUUGGUAUUUAGAGACCCAUGAUCCGUGUAUUAAACGACUAGUAAUUUGAAUAUGUGAACCAAAAUGGUAACUGAGGUGUAGGAUAAAAAUCAUAGCCCAAGUGCUUUAUCGAGGAACAGUUUUAAGCAUCUUGCCCCCAGGGCCGCCGCCUCUUCCCCGUUGCCUUCCCAUCUAUACAAAAGCCGCACGUCAUCGUUAUUCAAAAGGCAGAAGCCAGGAAGUGUAAAUCUUUAAAAAAAAAAAAAAGUAUGAACUUAGGAGGAGAGCUCAGGCGCCGUGAGAAGCUCGCAGCACACGCGCAGCACCACGCGGGCGCCCCUGGAGCCCCAGGCCGCGCCCGCUCCUCCGCGCGACCCCGCCCGGCCCCCCGCCCCGGCCCCCGCCCUCGGCGCCUCCCGCACCGCUGCUCCCCGCCCCCACGCGCCCGCCCGCUGACGGGGCCCGGCGGCGCGCAGGCGCAGUAGCCGCCGCGGCCGCUCCUAGCCCGGGGGAUCCUGGGACCAAGCCUUUCCGGAAGGACCGGCUCGGCGUCCGGGGCAGAGCCCGCGUUCCAGGCCCAGGCCCGAGCCAGGCCCGCGGUCCAGGCCGUCGUCCCUGCACCGCCGCCGGCGUCCGCGGCGACGCUCCAGCGAGCGCGGAGGGCGCAGCGGGCCGCGCGCUGAGGUGGGCCGGCCUCGCCGCGUCGCCGGCCGCAGUACGUGGCGGCGCCUCCCCCUUGGCCGGGAGCGGAACUGCUGGAGGAGCGGCGGCGCAGGCCGGACCGGGCGAACCGGGUCGCUUCACUGCCUUCAGGUGAUGAAUCGUCCGCAGAGCAAUCAGAUUUGAGGUCCGCAGCCCUCCGUGGCCCUGCCCGCCACCAGUUUUGAGCGGAUGACCGGCGGGUGUGUUGGCGGGGUGCCGCGGUGACCGCUCGCCCUUGAUCAAGGAAAGCGAGCCCUCCUGCUCGGGGCGUGCGCGGCUCGUCUCCUUGAGAGCUUUCAGGCCACAGCCUCGUUCCCCGGGGGGCCCGGGUCUC
rnacentral:lncRNA from 1 species